rnacentral:rRNA from 1 species
GAUGAACGCUAGCUACAGGCUUAACACAUGCAAGUCGAGGGGUAACAAGAGAAAAGCUUGCUUUUCUUGUUGACGACCGGCGCACGGGUGAGUAACGCGUAUCCAACCUGCCUAUAACUAGGGAAUAACCUCGCGGAAGUAAGACUAAUGCCCUAUGACUUCCGUUGGCGGCAUCAAAAAAGGAAUAAAGAUUUAUCGGUUAUAGAUGGGGAUCCGUCUGAUUAGCUUGUUGGAAGGGUAACGGCCCACCAAGGCAACGAUCAGUAGUGGUUCUGAGGGGAAGGUCCCCCACAUUGGAACUGAGACACGGUCCAAACUCCUACGGGAGGCAGCAGUGAGGAAUAUUGGUCAAUGGGCGGAAGCCUGAACCAGCCAAGUAGCGUGCAGGAUGACGGCCCUAUGGGUUGUAAACUGCUUUUAUUCGGGAAUAAACCUCUGUACGUGUACGGAGCUGAAGGUACCGAAUGAAUAAGCAUCGGCUAACUUCGUGCCAGCAGCCGCAGUAACAC